AUCUCUCUACAUUGUAACACUUUGGUUGAACACAAGUAAAGAAGAGAGAGCUACACGAAAUUGAUAAGAGCUUGUCUUUUCUUAUUGAUGUGUUAACCUUUACAAUGAGAUUACAAGGCUUUAUAUAGAAGGAGAACUAGGUUAAGAUGUCUCACAAUUCCCUUUAAUCCUAGCCCUUCUUUUCUCUCUUUAAAUCUCCACCAUUGAAUUCAAAAUAGCUUCUAGAAGGUUGUGGUCCACUUUUGUCUUCUAGAAGGUUGUGGUCCAACUUUGACCAAGACCAAGUUUGAAUUUGAGUCUCCUUCCUUUGUCUCCAACGGCUCUUAGGUCUUCUAGAAGGUCUCUCAUGGGCUUCUCUUAUGUGACACCAAUCUUGCACAUUAUUAUCUUCACUAGGUGACACGAGUUUUGCACAUUCUUGUAUUCAUGCAUAGACUUCAUUUUGCAUCCUCGGUCUUGAUACUUUUGACACCAAUUAUGCACAUUAGGUCAUGAUAACUUUGACACUAAU
rnacentral:lncRNA from 1 species